rnacentral:rRNA from 1 species
GACGAACGCUGGCGGCGUGCUUAACACAUGCAAGUCGAACGGAAAGGCCCUGCUUGCAGGGUACUCGAGUGGCGAACGGGUGAGUAACACGUGGGUGAUCUGCCCUGCACUUCGGGAUAAGCUUGGGAAACUGGGUCUAAUACCGGAUAGGAACCAUCUUUAGUGUGGUGGUUGGAAAGUUUUUUCGGUGUAGGAUGAGCUCGCGGCCUAUCAGCUUGUUGGUGGGGUAAUGGCCUACCAAGGCGGCGACGGGUAGCCGGCCUGAGAGGGUGUACGGCCACAUUGGGACUGAGAUACGGCCCAG